AAUGAACGCUGGCGGCGCGCCUAAUACAUGCAAGUCGAGCGAGAAGACGUAGCAAUACGUUUGUAAAGCGGCGAACGGGUGAGGAAUACAUGGGUAACCUACCCUCGAGUGGGGAAUAACUAGCCGAAAGGUUAGCUAAUACCGCGUACGCUCCUUGGACUUCGGUUCAGGGAGGAAAGCGAUACCGUGGGUAUCGCGCUCUUGGUUGGGCUCAUGUCCUAUCAGCUUGUUGGUGAGGUAACGGCUCACCAAGGCUUCGACGGGUAGCUGGUCUGAGAGGACGAUCAGCCACACUGGCACUGCGACACGGGCCAGACUCCUACGGGAGGCAGCAGUAAGGAAUAUUGCGCAAUGGGCGAAAGCCUGACGCAGCGACGCCGCGUGGGGGGA
rnacentral:rRNA from 1 species